CGCCCGCUCAGAAACUCAAAGGAAUUGACGGGGGCCCGCACAAGCGGUGGAGCAUGUGGUUUAAUUCGAUGAUACGCGAGGAACCUUACCUGGGCUCAAAUGUAUGUUGACGUAUUCUGAAAGGGAUACUUCUUCGGACAAUAUACAAGGUGCUGCAUGGUUGUCGUCAGCUCGUGCCGUGAGGUGUCGGGUUAAGUCCCAUAACGAGCGCAACCCCUAUCAUUAGUUGCCAGCGGGUAAUGCCGGGCACUCUGGAAGGACUGCCAUCGACAAGAUGGAGGAAGGUGGGGAUGACGUCAAGUCAUCAUGGCCCUUAUGUCCAGGGCGACACACGUGCUACAAUGGCCGGCACAACGGGAAGCGAGUUCGCGAGGACGAGCGGAUCCCUCAAAGCCGGUCGCAGUUCGGAUUGAAGUCUGCAACUCGACUUCAUGAAGCUGGAAUCGCUAGUAAUCGUGGAUCAGCCAAGCCGCGGUGAAUACGUUCCCGGGCCUU
rnacentral:rRNA from 1 species